ACCCAUGGACCCCAUCCUUUGUUGCCCUCUCCCAUCGAUCCCAUCUACCCCCGCCGCCGCCGUCCGAGGGGGAGACGGCGCCGCCGCCGCCUCUGCAAGGCAGGGCGGUUUGAAUCCCGCCGCCGCCGAACUCCGGGAAACGCCCGACGGUGUACCCUGGAAGGCCUGGAUCAAGGAGGAGCACAGACAGAUCCUGCCGUUGGCCGCGACCCUCGUCGUCUACCUCCACCGGCCAUCCCGCACACCCUUGCUCUCCAUGCAUCGCGCCAUUCCCCACCCCGUUGUGCCCCGCCUCUGUCCUAACCGUCGAAAUCGGCCUCGCCGGCGGCGCCGCUCCCGUGUGCUUCGUGCUCCUGCGCUGCUGCCGUCGCGAUGUCCGGGGGAUCCAUGGCGGCCAGCUGCUUGUCAACCACCACGAGCGGAGGUAGCGAGUUGGAUUUGGCCACGCCUGAGGUGAGCGGAGCAGAGCAGCGUGGUCAUACCUCCUGAUUGAACAAAAAUCUCAUACGCUUGACUACACGAUCUGUCAUGUUCUUGUGGGCCGGCAGCGAUUUCGUGGCCGCGGCAUAGCGGCGCGGUGGCGGGGGGUCGCGGCGUCCCAUGUGGGUGCAGUGGUCACGGCAGCAGGCACACACGGCGGUGGUCGCGCAUGGGGCUGCGCUGGUCUGUGACCACAUGGUGGCGGAAGAAGGUCGUCUUCCCAGAGCACCGCACGCUGGCCGCCAUCUCCAUCGGCGGCCGCACCAACAAGACAGGAGGAAUAUGAAAAGGAGAUCAAUGACACCAGGUCCCACGAGCUCAUGUAAGUUGAAGAGGCAAAAAUUCUUGAUAACGUGGAGCAUACUCGCAUUAUCGUCAUUUUGUAACCUAUUAGGCCUUCAUAAUUCUUCAUGGGAUGUAAAAUUGGUUGUAUUAUUAACAAAACUCAUUAAUAUGAACAAUCCAGGUAUAUUUGCACUUCUAUAGAUUGUGAAAGUUUCAAAUAUUUAACCACGCGGAUAUCACGAUGAUACAUGUACAGAUUGAUGGAGUAGUAACUUCAAUUUAUUUCUUAAAAUGUAAGAAAUAUGGAUAAAAUAUGAUAAGAAUAGCAAAAUUGUGUUUGCACGAUGACGAUGCACAUGUUUUUCCGUGUGUAUUGGUAUACACUAGAUGACUAGAAUGUAUAUAUUACAUCUUGUUUAUCUUUUAUUUUCACAUGAUUUAUUUAUCUUUUGGCAUAUUGGGCAUCUUGCGGCUUUCUGAAUGGUGCCUUGCUAGGAUGACCCAAAUUAUGUUAGUGUCGGUACGUUUAGUUGGUGAUGGUUUAGCGGGAGCGACAACUGCAUCUGUAACUUACAUAACUUACCCAUUGGAUGUUGUUCGAACUCGCUUGGCAACACAGGUAACGUCCGUGAUGUGUCCUGUUUAACUCUUUGGGAUGUUCAGUCCAUUGCUUAUAUUGCUGGUACAGGAGGGUGAGGCAGUGUCAAAGCUACUUAGCAUUCUAAGAUUGUGAACCAGUAUAUGGGUUUGCACAUCUGAGUGCUGGUGAUCUUCUUCGCGAAGAAGUUAAAUGUGAUAUGGAGCAGAUUAAAAUUGACCAUGAGCUCGUACUAUUAAUUGAUGGCUCAAGGGAAGAGACAGCGGCAUAUUCUUAGUUGAAAUCAGUUUGAUGUUUUUUAGGAAUGAAUUCCACUCGUUAUUAAUACCACUAUGAGAAAAGUAGUGAAAUGCUGGCCGUCUGCAAAAUGUACUGGUCCGUCUCGCGGUCUCACCCCAAAAACAGAGGAGAGGAGCAGGGAGCUCCUCCCUCACACUUGUCGGCUCCAAGGAGCCCCGCCACCAUGCAUGGAGAAGAGGAGCGCGGAGCUCCACCGCCGCGUAAGGCAAACCAAGGCUGCAACGUUUGAAUAUUAUACUCAGUCAGUUGCUCGACUACUUACAGUCCUAUUACUUGAGACUUAAUACUCGGUCAGCUGCCGUGUACAUUGUUCUGACAUAAAUGCCACCAUGUCUAUGCGCAAGUCAGAAGGAACUUACCAUCUAAAAAGAUGUCUAAUUAGUGUGGUACAUGCUUCAGUACUGCAAGUUGGAGUAGCAAUGCCUACCUGCACAUUGAUGCUCAUACCUGACGGUGAGAGAAGUUGCAUCUUGAGAUUCAAUUCUUUGACUUAUGAUGCCCAGCCAUAUGCACAAUGAGAACAUAUAUCCUUUUUACUAAUCUCUGUUUUUCGAAGUUGAAACUAUUUCUUUGUUACUUGGUGUGUGUGAAGUGCAAUCAUAGUCCUGUCACAAACUUGUUUGAGGACGGCAAAAGACUGGCCUUUUGCCGGACAAAGAAAAGACCGGCUUAUUUUAUUUUAUCACAACAUAGCAAGCUCCAUAUAUUUCAGUUACUACAUGGCAGGAUGCAGACUAUGUGCAGUAUUAGUGGUGUUUAGACACCAAAAUGGCAGUAUUAGUGGUGUUUUAAAGAGAAAGAUUCGUAAAUGAUGUUGUUUUCUACUAAGAAAAAUCAGUAGUCGGUGUCACCAUUGAGUGCCAAUGUGAUGGGCAUUUAAGAUUUAGAUUCAGAACUCCAGGGUUCAACACAGAUGGCUUCACUUCAAUAUUUUUCCCCAUGUGGUUGAUGGAUGCGUACAUAUCUAUGUACACUGGUAGAUAUCCAUCCAUUCAACUUCAGUUUUGAUGCAUCGUGUAUACUGAAUCCUACAUUAUGUUGAGAAAUUUAGAUAUAUAAAAGUAUCUGUAAGCCGACCACAUACCACACAUUUUAAAGGUUUAUUUUCUCUACAUCUGUACUAGCUUUGAACCAAGUAUUUCUACUUUCUUUUUGUUUGUUGCCAAAAAUUAAGGAAUGUCGAUCUGAUGUAUUUUUACAACAAUUAGCGUGUUGACGUGGAGCUUGUCCAUUCGCGACAUACCUUGUUUAUGUGGGAGGGUUGGAUGAUUGAAAGUCGGACGUACCAUUAACGACGGUUGUGAGCAUGGAUUGGGGAGACGAAGAUUAUGGGAGCACAAGAAAGAAAAGAAGAAGAAAACACGUUGCGGAGCGUAGCGGCCUCCUAGUUCUUGGCCUCUGUCGGGUGGCUAGACCACGCCACAUAGAAGACGAGGGUUAUGUCAGUUAGGGGCCUCGGCAAAGACGACGAGAAUGGCCAGGUCGAAAUCACAGGUGCGUGACGGCUGGAGACGGCCGCAGGGUCUAGAGAUGGGGCGCACGGCGGGUGUGUUCUACUUCCCAUUGAGAGAAUUCUGGUGGGUUUCUCUAAUAGUAUGCCAAACUAACUAACAAUUGUAGUUAACUAUACCGCAGCGGCGCACUUCUUAUAUUGGGAUUAAGCCUAAUGCUUGCUCUACCAAUCAAGAAGUACUAUUGUGAACUCAUAGGUAAAACCAUUCUCUAUCCAAUACAGUGUUAGCAUAGCUUUACGUAGAUUGGCAUGGCUGAUCUUCCCUUCCAUUAUUAUUGCUACUUUAUGUUUUAAUUCCAUUGUUCUUCACUUGAUCUUCGGAUCCAUGUUCCAGUGACUUCCUGAACUUUUACUUGUUGAUGGGAAGUUUCUAUUUUAAUUUUUCUUUCACUUUAUCUUCAGGUUUACAGAAUUCCAUGUUUACUUAUCUAGCUUUCUGUUCUCAUUCUGUUUGAAAUCCAUCGACAUUUUCCAAAAUUCCCUUAUCAAUGCACGAGUUUCCUUUCUUAAUUAACAUGUGAAGUUCCUUGUUCAACAAUGAUUUUUAGGCCAUCAGAGGAUGCGGGUUGUACCAUUGAAGACAGAAAAUUAUGAGAAAACUACAAUAUAUGAUAGGCUUGGUUGAUACCUUCAGAAAAGCUACAUCCCAAUAAUGUUGUGGGUUACACCUUCUGGCUUGAAAAUCAGCUUCAUAACAAGAAAGUUGCAACACUACAUUGGUCGAUAAUUGCAUUAAAUAAAUGCUGUAAUGGUGCAUUUGUUUUUAGAUUUCUAUUAACCUGGUACCAAAAAGUUGGAGAGCAAGGACCUUAUAUCAGUGGUGUUUAUACUCCAAAAUUGCAGUAUCAGUGGUGUUUAUACUCCAAAAUUGCAGUAUCAAUGGUGUUUUGAUUCCAAAACCUAUCUAGAGUAAUCUGUCAUUUGUUCUUCAAAGAGAUUGCGUAUCUGUUACCCCAUGUCAGGUUCAGUACCUCUGGGUUCAAGAUCUAUAGCUACAAGUAUUUUUGACUAGAUUGUGGUCAUAUAUGUGCUAAUUCAUGCUGAUACGCAUGCUCUUUGAACUUUUGAAAGGAAUGGAUGAAAUCAUCAUUAGAGCUUCUACAAAUGGGAUCUCUCCUAUAAUCCCCGCUAUAGUUACUUCACUGGUCUGACUUUUGAGUAACUUGAUAUAUGUGUCUCCCAGACAAAAAUAUUUUUAUUUAUUAGUUGUAUACAUCAUAGGUUAAUACUCGUGGAUGUUGAAGAAGUUAAAUGCUAUGUACUCUUUAUUAGUUUGGUUUGAAAUGUAAAGGAUGGCAAGCUUCUUCAGUUUA